rnacentral:rRNA from 1 species
GUGCCAGCAGCCGCGGUAAUACGUAGGUGGCGAGCGUUAUCCGGAAUUAUUGGGCGUAAAGGGAGCGCAGGCGGCUUAUUAAGUCUGAGGUUAAAUCUUGGGGCUCAACCCCAUGAUGCCUUAGAAACUGGUGAGCUAGAGUGCAGGAGAGGUGAGUGGAAUUCCAUGUGUAGCGGUAAAAUGCGUAGAUAUAUGGAGGAACACCGGUGGCGAAGGCGGCUCACUGGCCUGUAACUGACGCUGAGGCUCGAAAGCGUGGGGAGCAAAUAGGAUUAGAUACCCUAGUAGUCCACGCCGUAAACGAUGGAUACUAAGUGUCGGGAUAGAAUCUCGGUGCUGUAGUUAACGCAAUAAGUAUCCCGCCUGGGGAGUAUGCGCGCAAGCGUAAA